GUGCCUGUUUCAGCAUCACAUAUGCUAAAACUGGAAUGAUACAGAGAUUAGUGUGGCCUCUGCACAAAAAUGACAUGCAAAUUCAUGAAGUGUUCCAUAUGUAA
ensembl:snRNA U6 U6 spliceosomal RNA